GACAUUCGUUUGGUGUGUCAGCCACCGAACUCCCCUGAUCUUAACAUACUUGAUCUAGGAUUUUUUGCUGCCUUACAAUCAUUGUUUCAGAAGUUAUUUCCAGGUUCCAUUGAUGACAUAGUCCGCAAGGUGUGCCAGGCAUUUGAGCAAUACCCAGCUGAGAGGUGCAACAGGAUAUUCCUAACUCUACAAUCUUGCAUGCAUGAGGUUUUGAAGGAUAAGGGAGGCCAACACUACAAGGUGCCGCACAUGAGGAAGCUAGUCCUUGCAAAUGUUGAUGCCCUCCCGGUGAAGUUGCCUUGUGAUCGAUCCAUCGUGGACGAGGCGAGGGCUUUUUUACUUCAGUAG
rnacentral:rRNA from 1 species